rnacentral:lncRNA from 1 species
CAGCAAUCUUUGGCACUUUUUCAUGGAAAUCUAUUACAGUAAUGUACUUAAUUUUUAUCCAGAAGUGAUUUGAUAUUUAUAUAAAAAUGGCUGCAUUGGGCCUUUAAGUAGCUACCUUUAGCACGUCUCAGUACCUUAAAACAGUCUUAUGUGUUUGGUUAUACUGUAGUGGCAUGAGUCAUGAUGUCAAUGAUCACUCCUCCUAUACUGUAUGAGUCAUGUCAAGCUGAACAGGAUCAUCUUUUUUCUACACUAACUGUAUGAUGACCUACUACAGUAACUCCUUUUAUGAAAUUACAGACAGUGAUGUAGUCUAAUUGUUAGUGAGUUUUUAGAAUGGCAUAUCUAUAUCUCUGUGCAACUGAUGAGGUUAAAAUGUAGAAUGUUUUCUUAUGCUUGUUAGACAGCCUCUAAUUUCCCAGGACUUGAGCCUGAACCCAGGACUCACUGGAAAACAGUGAACAACAGCGGGACUCUGGCCACCUUCUCUCUUCCUCCACGGAUGACCUACCCAGUCCAGAUCCCUGCAGGGUUCACAACGCAGACAUCCUCUGGCCAGCUUUACAUGGUCAACUUUAUAGUGAUGGUGUCCCAGGUUCCAGCCGGCCACAGCCCUCUCCCAGCUCCAGAAGGGGGUACCUGUAGUGGAGUGGAAAGAUCCCAGCUCAUCUUCCCAGCAGUCAGCUAUAGUGGUCCCUUCUACUGUCCUCAAGACCAUGACCACUCCGAAGACAGAUCUGUUCUCCCCACGACCUGUGGCCCCUCCCACAGCUGUACCUCAGACACCAGAGCAGACCCUGAUACGUCCAGUCCAGGUGAUGCCUCCGGUCCAGCCACCUGAUGAGAAGCCUGUGCUACACAAACCCGUGGUCCAGCCCCCAGUUCAGGAGAACCAUCUCCUUCAGCAGCCAAAGGUUCCUUUAGCUCAGGCACGCUUUUCUGUGCAGACUCCAGUGUCCUUUUAUUUUCGUCCCAACCGCCAUCUCACCCCCCAGAGAGCCCUUUCGACAGUGGUGAUUUCAAUCUGGAUGGGAUUGACUUCGACAGUCCACAGCAGCUAG